rnacentral:misc_RNA from 1 species
GAUGAAGAACGUAGCGAAAUGCGAUAAUUAAUGUGAAUUGCAGAAUUCCGUGAAUCAUCGAGUCUUUGAACGCACAUUGCGCCUCAUGGCAUUCCGUGAGGCAUGCCCAUCUCAGCGUUAGAAAAUAUUCUCAAAUUUUAGUUUUGUGCUAAAAUUUGGAUCAUGUCAAGGAAGCUAUUACUAUUAUUGUGAUCGCUCUUUGGAAAUCGAUAGGUCUUUGAGUUGCUACUCAUAGAACGUGAUGAAUCUUUCUUCGUUCUAUUGUAAUUCACUCUGGUAGUCCUAAAACUUGUAUGCCUGUGGCAUAUCUUGUAAUUUGACCUGAGAUUGGGUAGGGAUACCCGCUGAACUUAAGCAUAUCAAUAAGCGGAGGA